AUUGAACGCUGGCGGCAUGCCUUACACAUGCAAGUCGAACGGUAACAGGUUAAGCUGACGAGUGGCGAACGGGUGAGUAAUGUAUCGGAACGUGCCCAGUCGUGGGGGAUAACGUAGCGAAAGCUACGCUAAUACCGCAUACGAUCUACGGAUGAAAGCGGGGGAUCGCAAGACCUCGCGCGAUUGGAGCGGCCGAGAUCAGAUUCGGUUGUUGGUGAGGUAAAAGCUCACCAAGCCUGCGAUCUGUAGCUGGUCUGAGAGGACGACUAGCCACUCUGGAACUGAGACGCGGUCCAGACUCCUACGGGAGGCAGCAGUGGGGAAUUUUGGACAAUGGACGCAAGUCUGAUCCAGCAAUGCCGCGUGCAGGACGAAGGCCUUCGGGUUGUAAACUGCUUUUGUACGGAACGAAACGGUGAGCUCUAAUACAGUUUGCUAAUGACGGUACCGUAAGAAUAAGCACCGGCUAACUACGUGCCGGCCGCCGUAAUAC
rnacentral:rRNA from 1 species